CACGAAAUAUACACAGAAGAAAAACGACACAACAGGAACUGCUUAUCUCUAACAGAAAUUUCUUCCAGCAGUCCUACGGAGAGAAAUGUGAUGGGAAAUAUCGGAUAGGACGCGUAAAAUAUACUA